CUAACGCUGGCGGCAUGCCUUACACAUGCAAGUCGAACGGUAACAGGUCUUUCGGGAUGCUGACGAGUGGCGAACGGGUGAGUAAUACAUCGGGACGUGCCUAGUAGUGGGGGAUAACUACUCGAAAGAGUGGCUAAUACCGCAUGAGAUCUAUGGAUGAAAGCAGGGGACCUUCGGGCCUUGUGCUACUAGAGCGGCCGAUGGCAGAUUAGGUAGUUGGUGGGAUAAAAGCUUACCAAGCCUACGAUCUGUAGCUGGUCUGAGAGGACGAUCAGCCACACUGGGACUGAGACACGGCCCAGACUCCUACGGGAGGCAGCAGUGGGGAAUUUUGGACAAUGGGCGCAAGCCUGAUCCAGCAAUGCCGCGUGCAGGAUGAAGGCCUUCGGGUUGUAAACUGCUUUUGUACGGAACGAAAAGUCUUGGGUUAAUACCCUGGGAUCAUGACGGUACCGUAAGAAUAAGCACCGGG
rnacentral:rRNA from 1 species